GAUCUGCCCACUCCUACUGACAAGAAGAAGGGGGAUCAUAGGACUUCAGACUUGUCAGAGCAGCUGUGCAUCCGUUGUUUCACAGGGUUGUAUCUGUGGCUGCAGAACCACCAGGCUGAGUUUCUGAUAAAAGACUCCUGGGAGACGGGCACAUCCAGGACCCCUUCCUGAGAAACCAAGUGGGGGAAGACUGGCCAUUGGCCCCCACAACUUCGUGGAGCCUCAGAUCCGCUCUGGACCCACCCUGCCCUGCGGGCAGCCUACCCUCCCCUGCUGGAGCCGCGGGGGAGGUGGGAAUGGACCCCGAUCUGCAGGAUCAGCGUCCCUUUCCCUCAAUGGGAGACUGAGUGUGUUUUGCAGAAGUCAAAACACCUUCCUAAAUCCUGAAAUGAUGUGAGCUGCUUGAGUUCAGGCUACCCUGCAGUGUCAUCGUGCCCCAGAUUAUUCCAAAAGGGUCGCCCGAUAUGGAAGAGAUCAGAGGCCUCUCUCUAAAGUAUUUCAAACAUUUGGCACUGAUAGCUGAGAAGGGUGGUGGUAGGAUUCCUGACGUUUACAGCCCACUGGCCCCUCAAAACUUAGUUCUGAUGAGUGAAUAAACCGAAGCCUAGAAAUGAGCAGCAGUUCCGAGCAGCCGUGACCCUCGCACAGACACAUGCGUGCACAGCCCUGGAUGAAGAGCCUCUCCGCUCACUUUCCGUUCAACGCGGAGAUGGAGAUACUUUUUCUCUACUCCUCCCAGAAUUUUCCUUGGUUAUCUAUCAUCAAAUGAUAUUAUUAGCGGGUGCUUAGAGUAUAUGAGAAAGUGUGUUGAAAGGCAAAUUAUUUUCUAAUGGUAUCAGCACCGUCCCUCACAGCAGACGACUGACUGUGACAGAUGUUACUCGUAAAAUACCUGUCAACAGACCAGGAAAGAAUCUCAUCGUGUCAUAAGUAGAAACUACGUAUAUCUUGGGUUUUGUAAGGAGACUACACUAUGUUAAAAGAGAGUUUGAGAGGAAGUCGAAGACUUUUGGAUGAAUCAGCUGCUGUUUUAGUAACGAUGUAAACACGAAAGUCCGUCUGUGGUACAUGCUGGAUCUUAGACGAGCACAUAUGGACGACUCAGCUGACUUGCACUCGUCCUGAAGACGAAUGUGCAAUACAGCCCUGGCUGUUUCCCUCUCUAGGAAAACACCCAAAAAUCUAAAUGUGAAAUAUACUAUUUGACAGGCAGACUUUGCUGAUAUAAUGUAUUUAUACUACAAAAAGCCAGGACAAUAAACAUUCUUGGAGGAGUUCCCAUUGUGGCUCAGCAGUAAUGAACCUAACUAGUCCAUGAGGUUGCAGGUUCGAUCCCUGGCCUUGCUCAGUGGGUUAAGGAUCCGGCAUUGCCGCAAGCUGUGGUGUAGGUCACAGACACGGCUCAGAUCUGGCAUUGCUGUGACUGUGGUGUAGGCCAGAAGCUGCAGCUCCUAUUCCACCCCUAGCCCAGGAACGUCGGUAUGCUGCAGGCUCGGCCCUAGAAAGCCAAAAAAAAAAAAAAAAAAAAAAAAANAACGAAAAACAAACAUUCUUAGAAUAAGCUAUUGGUUGAAAUUUCAAUUUCAAUAUUUAUCCCUUAGCAGAGCUUUUCCAUCCUUCUUCUUUUAUUGUUUUCUACCUUCUUUCGUUCUUGAGUUUUCCUUUUCGUCACCAUGUCAACUCCAUGAAAGCAGAUACUUAUCCUUUGAAACUACUUUUUUAAUGUAUUUUACCUCACAAAAACAGUUAGUAUUAUUUGGACAUCUAAUCAGGUUUUCUUCAUAUUUGAAAAGAUUCAUAAGGAACAAAAGAAAAAAAAUAGAUAAAUUGGACAUCAUCAAAGUUAAAACUUUUGUGUUGCAAAGGACAACAUCAGGAGGGGGGAAAAGCAACACACAAAAUGGGAAACUAUUUUUAAAAAUUAUGUAUCUCUUAAGGGUCUUGUGUCUAAAAUAUCUACAGAACUGCUACAACUCAAUGCUAAAAAGACAACGCAAUUGAAAAACGGACGAAGGAUUUGAAUAGACGUUUCUCCAGAUAAAACCAUACAAAUGGCCAACGAACAUGAGAAGGUUUUCAGCAUCACUAGCCGUCAGGGAACUGUUAACCAAAACCGCAGUGAGAUACCACCCCACACCCAGAAUGACUCGAACCAAAAAGUCAGUAACAAGUGUUGGAGAGGAUGGGGAGAAACUGGAAGCCUCAUGCGCGGCUGCUCGUAAGCAUAUAAACUGGUUUGCAGACCAGCUGCUUUGAAAACAGUCUGGCAGUUUUUCAAAUAAACACACACUUAUCAUAUGAUUCAGCAAUCCUGCUUCUAGUUAUAUACCCGAGAUAAAUGGAAAUUUAUGUUCAUACAAAAAUCUGUACGCAAAUAUUCAUUGCACCAUAUUCACAGCAGUCAAAAAGUAGAAACAGCCCGAAUGGUCACCAGAUGAUAAAUGCAGUAAUACGUCUGUGCAACGGAAUGUUAUCUGCCAAUAAAAAGAACGAAGCACGGAUAUAACACAGAUAAACCUUGAAAACAUUAUGCUAAGUGAAAGAAGCCAGCUGCAAAGGAUCAUAUAAUUGUAUGAUUCCAUUUAUGUGGAAUGUCAGGAAUAAGCCAAUCUCGAGGCAGAAAGUAGAGACUGGUGGUUUACUACGGCUGGUGGUGAUGGCGAGAUUGUGGAUGAUGCCUAAAUAAGCCUUUAAAAAAAAAGUUCAUCCUCUACCCACCAGGCUUUGCUGUAGCAAGAGACCCGUCAGGCUGGAAUUUGUUGGAAAUUCCAUCUCAUGAGUCUCCACACAUUCGUCUACUCAGCCAUUCCUGGGAGUCAGAGCUCUGCAUUUAUCGGCAGAAGCGCUGGGUGUUGCCGCCUCUAGCUAUGCGACCUUGAGGAAGCCACUUAACGUUUCCAAAUCUUAAUAAAAUAGAGACCACAAAAACUACCUCACAGACGCAUCAUAAAGCCUAAAUGAGAUGACGUGGGUCCAAGACUUUAUUAACUGUAAGUCACUAUGCAAAUGAUGGUCACUGCCAUUCGUACUUCUGUUGACCCAGGGCCUUGAUGCUGAGCUUACCUGCCUCACAGCCCCCAACGGCAUCAUCACAGGCAGGAGCCAGAAUCUUCAUUUUCUGUGAGAAGUUCCACUGCCAAGAAGACCGGAUGGUCGUGUCGGACUCUCCGUUCGUCUCCCUCCCAGGACAGAAACCUAUCUGGGAAACUCAGUUCCCAUCAGCAGGUGGCUUGGAGCAAAGAGCAUCCAAACGGGGGGAGUGUGAUGGUCUCCCCUGGGGGGGACACCACCAGGAAGACAAGCUGAGCAGGUGCGUGUCCGUCCUUCUCCUCUGAAACAGAUCUGUGAGUACCUCAGACGUCCUCCCUCCUUUAGUCCAGGACACUGCUCACAGAGACGCACCUUUCUCCCCUGUUUUUGUGGGUAACCCUCCUUCUGCUUGGGGGAUUUCCAGUGACCUCAACUUCAUUGUAAUAAACCAAUUUCCAA
rnacentral:lncRNA from 1 species